UUAACCUGAGGUAGUUAUAAAUUGAAGGCAGUUGUUUUAUUGUCGGAUACGAAUUUGUAUGAUUGAUGAUCCUACGACUCUCUGUGAUCGUUGCUUUUCUUUUCUUUUUGAUCUUACCUCCUUCCACUUUUUUUAUUUGACUUAUUGUGGCAUUGACGGGGAACACAGACAGAGUUACUAAGGUAAACUGCAUGAGAGUUUGUAUGGAUGGAGUUGUCCUAAAACCUGUGCCAGUGGAUAAAAUGAGAAGUGCUUUAUCUGAGCUCUUAGAACAUGGAGUUGUACUUGAAUCUUAGAGAAUGUAGGAGGAAAAUGUGCAGCAACCAUAUGAAUAAUUCACCCAAAUGCACAAGGUGUUGUAUAUAGUUCUCGUCUUUGGGGCAAAGAGGAAGAGUGUUAUUCUUGGUGUGGUGAUAACACAGUAUGCCACUUGAAAAAGGUGUAUGUAUCUGAUUAAACGCGACGUUGCUCAAGGCAUUCAGCAGAUUUGUAGAAAGGAGUUUAUUUUUCCACUACGCAGAAGUGUUCAUAUUCCAUGGAACUUUGUAUAAGAUCUGAUUUUGACACAUCCCUUCAUUUACUUGAAACAUUAGAAGAAUUAUUGCCUUGGCUUAACAUUUGUGGCAAAAACAUGAUUGGUCAAUAGAUUAUGUGUUUUUUUUCUUCUGUUUUUUCUAUUGCCUUUUCAUAUCCAUAGUUUUUUCUGACCUUACUAGAUAGCAAAGAGCUUGAACUGAAGGGGUGUUUUGACUCUAUGCAUCAAAGAAGCAACAGCAAAUAAAAAAACUAAAGCAGGGAUAGAACGAAAUGCUUCACUUAAGCAAAUGAUGUCUUAAAGUUGCAUCAAGGAUUUCUUUCGAAAUUGUGGUUGUUUUCUCAACCUCGAUGAAAUUCUCUAUCCUAUAUCUAAAAGGUGUUAUCAGGUAAAUCGACAAGCUUCUGUAUUCCAAUUCUAAAGGGUUUAAAAGGUAUCCAAAUUGAUAAUUUUUUAUGUCUAAAAAGGCUUCUACAUUAUCAAGUAAGACUCAAGAAGAAUCAUGUGUUUGUUUGGAAGGACAAGAAGUGAUUAAAAUUGGGUUAAUGGGACAACAUCCUUGGUUAUCUUUAAUCAAGAGAAUUUUGAAUCCUUGUUUUUGUCUGCAUUUAUUUUCUUCUACGUUCCAAUAGCUCAUCAUCCUUAGAUUCUGAAAUUCGUAUAUUGAGGAAUAAGUUUAUAUUGUUGUGUCUUAAUACUUGAACCUAUGUUGGAUAUCAUCUACUCGGACCAUAUAUGCUCAGUACCUGUACAUUUUCUCUAUCUGGACAAUGUUAAAAAAUGAAAGACGAGAUUGUUGCAAUCGUUAAGUAAAUCAAUAUUGGCUUCUUUAACUUAUUUGACUUUUGUUUACAGGUAUAAACUUUCACACAGCAAGAGCUCAUGUUCAUAUUUCGUGUAUUGCACUAAUUUUUCAUCACCUUCUUCCCCUGCCACCUCCUCCUUCCAUAGCAUGUCUAUUAAAUUAGACCAUACAUUAUUCUUUAUGGACAAUGAAAACCUAUGAUUAUUUUGGUUUGCAUUGUGCAUACUCCUUUGUUAGCAUGUCAUUUAAUUCAUUAUUGAUGAUAGUUUUGUGCUGGUCAUUAAUUCUGUAGAGCUGUGAAUUGAGAUAAUUCUCAUGUGUGCUCUAUAUACUCUUCCAGUUAUUUAGAUUUUAUUUUUAGACAAACUCUUUAUAAUCGUUGUUUUCCACUUUCUCCUGGUUCAUGUAGCAUAUACUUUGUUGUGAUCUUGAGUUUACAUGAGAAAAAGGAAAAUUGGUUCUAGUGCUGAUGCAUGCCUAAGCUUUACCAAGUAUGUUGUUUUGAUAUACUGCUCCCUCAUUCUUUCUGUAAUAUAGACAAUUUUAAAAUAGUUUCUCUCCAUUCAAAGUCAACACGCAAUAUAUUUUGCUUUUCUUAUCUUAAAUUUGUCAUGAUUUCUCAGCUUUCGUCAAGCUGGUGCUUCUGUCAUUCAAAUUUUUGUUGGUCCCCUGAGGGAAAAUGUGGGUGAUUGAAUUUGAAUAGUGGCCAGAAGUAAACUCGAUUGUAGUGAACAAUAAAGAUUUUUUGUACUAUUGCCAUAUAUGUUUGGAUGCAUUUGUCUCUAGUAGAGAUCCUUAAGCAAUUGCUUUCUAA